rnacentral:lncRNA from 1 species
AGGGCCACACUCACAGCAUAUGGAAGUUGCCAGGCUAGGGGUCAGAUCAGAGCUAUAGCUGCUGGCUUAUGCCACAGCCACAUCAGAUCCAAGCCGCAUCUUCGAUCUACACCACAGCUCACAGAAAUGCCAGAUCCUUAACCCACUGAGCAAGGCCAGGGGUCGAACCUGCAUUCUUAUAAAUACUAGUCAGGUUCAUUACUGCUGAGCCACGAUGGGAACUCCUGUGGAAGAUAUUUUGGAUUGUUCAAGGGUCACCUGGGAAGCAGGCCACUGGAAAAUGAGUUAUGUUGUAUAAUUGGUCUACUUUGUUUUUUAUUUUUUUGUGUGUUUUUUUUUCUUUAAGUAUAGUUGAUUUACAGUGUUGCGCCAAUUUCUGCUGUACAGCAAAGUGACUCAGUCAUACAUAUUUACAUUCUUUUUUUAUGUUAUUUUCCAUCAUGGUCUAUUCCAGGAGAUUGGAUAUAGUUCCCUGUGCUAUACAGUAGGACCUUAUUGUUUAUCCAUUCUAAAUGUAAUAGUUUGCAUCUACUAACUGCAAACUCCCAGUCCAUCCCACAAUUGGUCUACUUUGGAUGGGAAUAAGAUGCGGUCUCAGCACUUGUCCACAACCCCUAUCUGUGACAUGGGCUCAGAGAAAUAGCUCUCUUGAUUAUAGCCUAGAUUGUACAUUUAGAACCUCAAGGAUAGAAAGACCUUAAAAAUCUCACAUCCAAAACAGCUUAUUUUAAUUUGACCCUAAUUCAACUCCUUUCAUAAUAUACCCAACAGAUGGUCUUUUAGCCACUGAGUAAUUGCAUGUAGUGAUGGGGAACUCCUUCCUGAGAUAGCUUGUCUCUUCUUUCAAGAGCUCCUUGCAUAAUGAGCUUGAAAUAUAUUUUCCUACAACUUCAAUUCAUUCAUCAUAUCUGUAUUAUGCCCCAAUUCAAGAAUAUUGCUUUAUUGUGCUCUCUCUUGCAUGUUCAGCUUCUCUGCUGCCUUUUGAGCUGCCAGGCACUGUGCUGGGUGAUGGGGAUAUGGAGAUGAAUUAGACACAGUUUCUGCCCUCAAGGAGUUCUCAGUCUAGUGAGAGAGUUCGACUUGUACACAGAUAAUUACAGUAUGGUAUGCUCUACAAUGGAGGUAUGUACAAGAUACUCUGGGGUUCAGAAGAGAAAUCAUUUGACUGAAUCUGGAGAUGCAGAGGUUGGAGGAACUGAUGCUUAAGUUGAUUAUUUUAAAAAGUAAAGGUCAAAUAGGCAGAAAACAGAGGAAGUACCUUCUAAGCAAAGAUAUGAACAUUAGAAAUGGAAUGAUAAAUUGAGGGACUACAAGUAGUUUAUGAGAUUAGGUUGGAAAUGUGGGCUGAGAAUAAAUCCUUAUAUAGUAUGCUGUGAAAUUUGGAUUUCAUUUUGAGUGUUUUAAAAAGGGGAUGCUUUUGAUGGUCACUCUGACAGUAGUAUGGAGUAAGUUAUGGAAAAUUUUCAAAUUUGGAUAGGGAGAUCAGUUAGAUGAUAAAUGAUCAUCUUAGCCAGAAUAAGUGGGAAUGAAGAAGGAAUAACCUUUUAAAUAAGGGGUUAUACAAAACAUGGAUAUAGAAGUUCCCAUUGUGGCGUCAGCAGUAAUGAUCCUGACUAGUAUCCAUGAUAAUGUGGGUUCGAUCCUUGGUCUUGGUCAGCAGGUUAAGGAUCGGGCGUUGCUGUGAGCUGUGGUGUAGGUGGCAGAUGCAGCUUGGAUUCCAAGUUACUGUGACUGUGCGGAGGCUGGCAGCUGCAGCUCCGAUUCAACCCCUAGCCUGGGAACUUCCAUAUGCCGCAGGUGCGGCCCUAAAAA